GCCAGGAUGGUCUGGAUCUCCUGAGCUCAUGAUCUGCCCACCUUGGCCUCCCAAGAGAGAGAGAAAUUCAGUUUCAAUACUUGUCAUCAUUAAAUUCUAGUCUUUAAGUUUUUGCCUACAUUUUAGAUUAACCCUGCUUAUUCCUAUAAACCAGCCAUCAAUCUCUGGCUACAGCUCAGAAGGAACAAAGGGGAUGGGUAAUGUAAAAACCUGGAUCAACAUUCUAGUUCUGGGCAAUUAUUAUGCAAAUCCUGUCAGGUGAUAGGAAUAAAUAGGGUGCCCACCCAAAUCUUAGCAAGCAUAACUAUAGCCACUAGUUAUCUGGGUAUCUCAUAAGACAUCCUUUUCUCUCCCUUCUUAAAGGAGGACUCAAUUCCACAGUUUCACCUUAGCAUUUAGCUUAUGACAAAGAGUCUAUGCAACCACUCGGAGACACAUUUUUGUCCCAAUCUCAAUUCCAAUCUUUGGGUCGAUGCCCUAGGAAAGGAAACUGGAUCUGAGGGAUUCGGAGGCAGAUGAUAAUGGAGAUUAGAAGGCACAGUGUAGGUGAGCACGACUAAUUCCUGCUGAUUAAGACAAGCCUCCAGUUUCAUAGAUAAAGGUCAUCUCUCGUACCCAUGACAUAAAUGAGGUUUAGGGAACUCCAUACUCCUGACAGCAGGGCAUAUAGGGUGUACGUGGGUAAGAGCAGAUAUCCCACCCCCUAGGCCUCCCUGUUAACAUGGGUAAAAGCCACAUUGACACCCAUGGGCAGCACCCUGUUGCAGUCACCAAGACUCAGGGAUACAAGGAUGGAAGAGGUAAAGAAGAUCCUCUUCCUUCUCUCCCUCACAUACCCCGAGUAUUUUCUAGGAAGAGAAGAGAACCAGGCAUGCCUGCUCCCCUCUUUCUAGAUGAGUAGCCAUUCAUAUUCAGUCUGAACCUAUUUUGAUUGCAUUCUGAAUCCCUGGGACUCCUUGAGAAAAAAAUGCCUUCUUUUUUCCUUUUUCCUCCUCUGUCCUCUCUUCGCUGACAGGUAAUUGUGUCUCUGUAAUAUGGGACACUCACUUCAGAUGCAUCCUCCAAACUGGGAAAAGUUAAUUUUGAAAACCUUAAACUGGUUGGCUUAGGACUGGGCUCACAAAAGGUUUACCAGAAGACUGACAUGCUGGCAAAAGCAUGAAAGUUUUUUUGCCAGCUGGGCUUUUGGCCUCCGUCUCCCUGUGCAAACUGGCCAUCAAACUCCAAACCAUCACGCAACCAGACUGGAGCCUCAAACAAUAACCUUUUUUGCCAGGAACCCUUUCAUAGGCCCCUGAGGGAGAUCAGACUGCUGUUUUCUGAAAACAGUACCCUCUGUCAGCAGGAAGCGGUUAAGAUUGGUCUUCAUCCUUAUCUUUAUUCUAACGGCAGUUAGAUAUACUUCUUUAGGUGCAAAAUGAUAGAUGCAGGAGGCAGAUGAGGGAACCUGCCCAGGGCAUUGUAUGUGUAUGCCUGCAAUGGACUAGGGACCCACCGGCACACUGGAAGAGUGGGGUGGAGCCACUGGAACGUUUACACUUUGUGCAGAAGGGAGGAGCCUGGCAUCUUCAGUUCCUGUGUGGUUGCCUGGUGUUCAAGAUUCCCUCUUGCUUUGCUGAGAGUUGUUUUUCCUUUUCACCCAAUAAAUUCUGCUG
rnacentral:lncRNA from 1 species